rnacentral:snRNA from 14 species
GGCUAGGCGGGUGUCCCCUUCCUCCCUCACCGCUCCAUAUGCGUCCCUCCCGAAGCUGCGUGCUCGGUCGAAGAGGACAACCUUCCCUGAUAGAGGAGGCCCGUUCUUCGGUCAAGGGUAUUCGAGCAGCUGUGCUCCCCGGCUAGAACCUCCGAACAAGCUCUCAAGGAAACCUGAAGUGGUGGGGCUAGCUGU